GAGUCAUUUAACCAUUAGUGAACAAGUCUAACCAUACAGAACACAUCAUAGGUGAGUCAUUUAACCAUUAGUGAACAAGUCUAACCAUACAGAACACAUCAUAGGUGAGUCAUUUAACCAUUAGUGAACAAGUCUAACCAUACAGAACACAUCGUAGGUGAGUCAUUUAACCAUUAGUGAACAGGUCUAACCAAGGUUAGUCAUUUAACCAUUAGUGAACAAGUCUAACCAUACAGAACACAUCGUAGGUGAGUCAUUUAACCAUUAGUGAACAAGUCUAACCAUACAGAACACAUCGUAGGUGAGUCAUUUAACCAUUAGUGAACAAGUCUAACCAUACAGAACACAUCAUAGGUGAGUCAUUUAACCAUUAGUGAACAAGUCUAACCAUACAGAACACAUCAUAGGUGAGUCAUUUAACCAUUAGUGAACAAGUCUAACCAUACAGAACACAUCAUAGGUGAGUCAUUUAACCAUUAGUGAACAAGUCUAACCAUACAGAACACAUCAUAGGUGAGUCAUUUAACCAUUAGUGAACAAGUCUAACCAUACAGAACACAUCAUAGGUGAGUCAUUUAACCAUUAGUGAACAAGUCUAACCAUACAGAACACAUCGUAGGUGAGUCAUUUAACCAUUAGUGAACAAGUCUAACCAUACAGAACACAUCGUAGGUGAGUCAUUUAACCAUUAGUGAACAAGUCUAACCAUACAGAACACAUCGUAGGUGAGUCAUUUAACCAUUAGUGAACAAGUCUAACCAUACAGAACACAUCGUAGGUGAGUCAUUUAACCAUUAGUGAACAAGUCUAACCAUACAGAACACAUCGUAGGUGAGUCAUUUAACCAUUAGUGAACAAGUCUAACCAUACAGAACACAUCGUAGGUGAGUCAUUUAACCAUUAGUGAACAAGUCUAACCAUACAGAACACAUCAUAGGUGAGUCAUUUAACCAUUAGUGAACAAGUCUAACCAUACAGAACACAUCGUAGGUGAGUCAUUUAACCAUUAGUGAACAAGUCUAACCAUACAGAACACAUCGUAGGUGAGUCAUUUAACCAUUAGUGAACAAGUCUAACCAUACAGAACACAUCAUAGGUGAGUCAUUUAACCAUUAGUGAACAAGUCUAACCAUACAGAACACAUCAUAGGUGAGUCAUUUAACCAUUAGUGAACAAGUCUAACCAUACAGAACACAUCAUAGGUGAGUCAUUUAACCAUUAGUGAACAAGUCUAACCAUACAGAACACAUCGUAGGUGAGUCAUUUAACCAUUAGUGAACAAGUCUAACCAUACAGAACACAUCAUAGGUGAGUCAUUUAACCAUUAGUGAACAAGUCUAACCAUACAGAACACAUCAUAGGUGAGUCAUUUAACCAUUAGUGAACAAGUCUAACCAUACAGAACACAUCAUAGGUGAGUCAUUUAACCAUUAGUGAACAAGUCUAACCAUACAGAACACAUCAUAGGUGAGUCAUUUAACCAUUAGUGAACAAGUCUAACCAUACAGAACACAUCAUAGGUGAGUUAAUCAAUUCCGCUGCUCACCGUGCUGAAGAACAAAACGCUAGUGGACGUGGCGAUGUGGAUGGCAAAAACAAAACAUUUUUGUGACAUAUUGUCCUCCAGUCCACCAUGCAUGUGGUCUGAAUUGAUUGUUUCCCCUG